CUUCUUGUUAUUUGUGAAACAUGUCGAAUAAGAUUAAGUUGCCUCUUGCUGUGGUCGGAUUCAUUCUCACUUUCUUAUUAAAGGCAGAAGCUAUAACAUUUGAUCCAUCUCAUCCCAGGAUAGUUAAUAACUCCACAGAAGUACGGAUCAACUGUCACCAUGACGAAAGUGAUAAGAAUGUAAUGCUUUGGUACAAACAACUCCAGGACGGACAGAUGAAGUUAAUUGUUUACAGCUACUUUGGCAGUGACCCUGUUUUUGAGAAAGACUUUUUGAAAAGGUUUGAGAUGAAGAGAACAGACAGGCAGACAGGAGCUCUGAUCAUCUCCAAUGUGGAGCCCAAUGACUCUGCGAUGUAUUUCUGUGCUGCCAGUACACAGUGAUGUGGUUAAUGUGAGUCUGAUAUUAAAACCUGCUCCUGGAUCUCAUUCAGCGCACAAAAACACAUGUUCAAACUGAGAGGAUUCAACUAGACACACGACAAUGUUGUUUCACUAAUUACUAUCUCACAACUAUUGAUACUUCACUGCUGAUGUCAUCAACAAUCCCUGUGGGUGUGACGCUAACUGGAGGCACUGCUCUGUCUGAAGCUCUAUUACUCAAAUUAGCCUUUGAUCUGAGCCUUGUUUUAACUCAGCAGAGCUGUUUUAGCUGGAACUACAACAUGUGUUGUUUAAAUCCAUUUUGUAUUUAUUCUUGAGUUUUCACACCAUCUUAAAAAAAAUUGACAGUGUUUGCUAAUGUGCGGACUGUGUUACCACACUGAACAUUCCUCCAUAGACAUACAUGUAGAACACCCCCAGCAUGAUAUAUUAAA